rnacentral:rRNA from 1 species
CCUACGGGUGGCAGCAGUGAGGAAUAUUGGUCAAUGGGCGCGAGCCUGAACCAGCCAAGUCGCGUGAGGGAAGACGGUCCUAUGGAUUGUAAACCUCUUUUGUCGGGGAGCAAAAGACGCCACGCGUGGCGUUCCGAGAGUACCCGAAGAAAAAGCAUCGGCCAACUCCGUGCCAGCAGCCGCGGUAAUACGGAGGAUGCGAGCGGUAUCCGGAUUUAUGGGGUUUAAAGGGUGCGCAGGCGGAAGAUCAAGUCAGUGGUAAAAUUGAGAGGCUCAACCUCUUCGAGCCGUUGAAACUGGUUUUCUUGAGUGAGCGAGAAGUAUGCGGAAUGCGUGGUGUAGCGGUGAAAUGCAUAGAUAUCACGCAGAACUCCGAUUGCGAAGGCAGCAUACCGGUGCUCAACUGACGCUCAUGCACGAAAGUGUGGGUAUCGAACAGGAUUAGAUACCCUAGUAGUC